UGUCUUUUGGCUUUGGACUAAUACCAUGCUAAGAUCAAGUGUAGUUAUAUGGUGAGGUCUGUCCCUUGCACUCUGGGCAGGCUGACUCUUGCAAGUUUCCUCAAACGUGGAAAUGUGACUGCACAAUUUUGUGGCAAGAGGGGACUGCGUUUGUGCUUUCACCCA